UCAAAAAGUCAAGGCCUGACCUGGUCUGGUCAACGGCUAAGGCCUGGCAGGCUUAGGCCGGACUAGGCCAUGCCAGCCUGUUGUGCAUCACUAGGAGCGAGGAAUGUGGGAAGAGUUUUCAAGAACUUAAGAGGAGAUUCAUUUCAGCACCUGUUUUGACUAUACCAUCUGGUUUGGAGGGAUUUGUCAUCUACAGUGAUGCUUCAGGCAAAGGUUUAGG
rnacentral:lncRNA from 1 species